rnacentral:rRNA from 1 species
UACAGAGGUCUCAAGCGUUGUUCGGAUUCAUUGGGCGUAAAGGGUGUGUAGGUGGCGCCGUAAGUCGGGUGUGAAAUCUCGGGGCUUAACUCCGAAACUGCAUUCGAUACUGCGGUGCUUGAGGACUGGAGAGGAGACUGGAAUUCAUGGUGUAGCAGUGAAAUGCGCAGAUAUCAGGAGGAACACCGAUGGCGAAGGCAGCUCGCUGGGACGGUACUGACGCUGAGGCGCGAAAGCGUGGGGAGCAAACAGG